rnacentral:rRNA from 1 species
UUUUAUUUGAGAGUUUGAUCCUGGCUCAGGAUGAACGCUGGCGGCGUGCCUAACACAUGCAAGUUGAGCGAUUUACUUCGGUAAAGAGCGGCGGACGGGUGAGUAACGCGUGGGUAACCUACCCUGUACACACGGAUAACAUACCGAAAGGUAUGCUAAUACGGGAUAAUAUAUUUGAGAGGCAUCUCUUGAAUAUCAAAGGUG